CUAUUCCCAAACAUAUUUGUUUGGUAUGCAUAUCCAAGCAAUAUUAGCUAAAGGGAGUACACAAAGAAGGACACCAUUUUUUCCCUCCCACUCCCCAUCUGUCGUGGAAAACACACAGGUUUUCCUCCACAGGUUGAAAAGAACCUUAUGUCCUUGGAGGACAGACUUACAGUGCAUUGCAACAACAGUGUGAACCUUCUUCCUACUCCUCAACCCACAGUCCUGUUUUGAAGGCUGCAUUCUGAGAAUAGGCUUCACCAUGAUGCUGUUGGAACAUAAGCUACCAUGUUAAACAAGCAUGGCAUGAGGCUGACUAAUCCUGGUGAACUGUGUGGUUAAAUAGCUGCUCCUUAGAAGCAGUAGUGAUUACAAGCCUUGUCCAGCACUACGAAUCAGAAUGUCUUCCCUCUUCUUUUGAAGCUGUCUGUUAAGAAGAUGUGAGUCUUCACCUCAAAGGGCUCUUGAAACGCUGCUAAUUACAAGGGGAUAAUGAGAACUCACCAAUGGAGACCACCUCAAUUAAACAAAAAUCAGUUUAUAUUGAUACAGCAAUUAAUUAUAUAUGACAGAAUAAUUGAAGAAGUUUUCCUUGUGUAUUCAUAGAGAACCUAAACUUAUAUGAAAUUAAGUAUUAGUUGUGGAGCAUUUAAUGAAGAUUAAAAUGAAUUUCAGCUGUAGACUUUAUACAAAAUUUAAAAAAUAAAUUAAGUGGUAAGAAAAUAAUGCAAGUUUUCUGUGAUGAGUAUUCUUUUAUUCAGAGUUGGAGUGGGGACAAUUUAUAUCUCAAUUUCAUUAGUCUUUUUUAAAAAACAAUGUUAAUGAAGUAUAUGGACCAAUGCUCACUAACACUUUGGACACAUAGAAACCCCAGUGGUUUGUUUGAGUUUGCACAAUAUAAAUUUAUGCAUCCCAAAGAACUUGUAAUACUAAUGGCAUUUAUCAGGUAUUGUUUGUAAAGGAUAUGAAUAAUAAUAAUCCAUCUGCUAUAGUCCCUUUUCAGCAGAGGAAUCAUACAAAUUAAUGUUGGCCUGGAUAUAAUCCAUUUAGGAUGAUUCAUGAGAGUCAUAAAAAUGACCUCUCUCUCUUUUUUUAAUUCCCAAGCAAGUGUUUUUCCAUUAAUUAUUUUUCUACUUCUUUUUGUAAGGUCCACUUUGAGGUUCUUUAAUUCUGUCAAAUGUUUUAUGACUAUUUUGAAAAAAUAUCUAACAUCCACAAGACCACCACCAUCAACAACGAGAAACUUCAUAAAAAUCUAAGCUUAUACUCUGGUAUUUAAAG
rnacentral:lncRNA from 1 species